AAGUCUGGAACAGAAAGUAGGACGUAAGUAUUGGUUACCUUGACAAUAUGGAAUUUACUACUACUUAUUCUUAUUAAUUUUUUCUUAAAAGGGUGAAAGAAAAUAAGUAUUUGUUCUAUGUCAUGAGGGUUGCGGAAAAACAUGGAGACUCGUCUUAUGGGCUUUGCUUGGAACAUUAAAAAUGCUGAAAUUUGUCAUCACAAAUAUUGAAGUUCUCACUUUUAUUGUUCCUUUAGGUUCAAAUGUGUUUUGAUGAAAUGGGGAUUUCAUGUAGCAUUGGAAUUUACUUGAGUCAUUCGACCUCAUCAUGAUAAACCCUGGAAUUGAAAAAGCUAUAUAUUUCAGUUAAAUAGAGGUACAGGGCAGAAAUUAAAGAGGAAACUAACAUAAGCAUGUAAAAGGAAUAUACGUUACUAUUACAAGAUUGUUCAGAAUGACAGUGAUUACAUUGUGAGUGGCAUGGAAAUUCUAUGUUAUUCUGACAAUUUUUAAUUCAUGAACCACAAACAAUGAAUUUGGUAAUGUAAUCUUUUAGCAAUUAGGUUGCUGAUGAAUGUUUGAUGGUAUGUUCAAUGUUCAUAGCAUUUUGGGAGAAAAUCACUGUUUCAGCGGAUAAAAGAAAAGGCUGUAUGAAUGAAUUUGAGCCAUAUGUGUAAACAAUGGUAAUGAAGAACAGAACAGUGUGCUGUCAAUGAUUGAAAUUAUCUGGUUACCCAGUACAUUGUAUUCAUAGAUACAUAGCACUUCUUUAAUUUCUACAUUCUGUGUUUCUGUUUUAUGGUGAAUAAUUAUGCAGUCUAAUACCAAAGCUGGCAUAAAUUCUUGUAUAUCUUACCUUAUAUAUAUGUUACUUGAGAAUAUCUGUGAUACUUUUUUUAUGUGGAAAUGGAAUUGAAAAGUUCUGAUGUCUUCAUUCUUAUUUCUUUCCCUCAGUUAUUUUCA
rnacentral:misc_RNA from 1 species